rnacentral:rRNA from 1 species
UCGGUUGAUCCUGCCGGAGGCUACUGCUAUCGGGGUUCGAUUAAGCCAUGCGAGUUAAAUGUUCUUCGUGAACAUAGCGAACUGCUCAGUAACACGUGGAUAACCUACCCUUAGGACCGGAAUAACCCCGGGAAACUGGGGAUAAUACCGGAUAAGCCAUAGACGCUGGAAUGCCCUAUGGUUCAAAGCUCCGGCGCCUAAGGAUGGAUCUGCGGUCUAUCAGGUUGUAGUGGGAGUAACGUACCUACUAGCCGACGACGGAUACGGGUUGUGAGAGCAAGAGCCCGGAGAUGGAUUCUGAGACACGAAUCCAGGCCCUACGGGGUGCAGCAGGCGCGAACACUUUACAAUGCGGGAAACCGCGAUAAGGGAACCCCGAGUGCCAGCAUCAAAUGUUGGCUGUCCAGAUGGUUAAAAAUCAUUUGUUAGCAAGGGCCGGGCAAGACCGGUGCCAGCCGCCGCGGUAACACCGGCGGCCCGAGUGGUAGCCGUUUUUAUUGGGUCUAAAGGGUCCGUAGCCGGCCUGAUAAGUCCUUUGGGAAAUCUGACAGCUUAACUGUCAGGCUUCUAAGGGAUACUGUCAGGCUUGGGACCGGAAGAGGUAAGGGGUACUCCAGGGGUAGGAGUGAAAUCUUGUAAUCCCUGGGGGACCAUCUGUGGCGAAGGCGCCUUACCAGAACGGGUCCGACGGUGAGGGACGAAAGCUAGGGGAGCAAACCGGAUUAGAUACCCGGGUAGUCCUAGCUGUAAACGAUGCUCGCUAGGU